AUGUGCGUGCACCGCGCGGACUCAUGCACACGAGCACACACGUGUGCACAAUGCAUAUCUGCGUGCACACACACCCCCACCUCUGUGCGUGCGCACACACACGUGUGCACAAUGCAUGCCCACGUGCACACACACACCCACCUCUGCACAGACACAUCGGCAUGUACACACACACCCCUGUGCACACACACACACCCCUGUGCACACACACACCCCUGUGCGCACACACACGUGUGCACAAUGCAUGUCCACGUGCACACACACACACCCCUGUGCGCACACACACGUGUGCACACACACGUGUGCACAAUGCAUGUCCACGUGCACACACACACCCCUGUGCGCGCACACACGUGUGCACACACACGUGUGCACAAUGCAUGUCCACGUGCACACACACCCCACCUCUGUGCACACACACACCCCUGUGCGCACACACAUGUGUGCACAAUGCAUGUCCACGUGCAAACACACACCCACCUCUGUGCACGCACACACCCCUGUGCGCACACACAUGUGUGCACAAUGCAUGUCCACGUGCACACACACACACACCUCUGUGCGUGCGCACACACACGUGUGCACAAUGCAUGCCCACGUGCACAUACACACCCACCUCUGCACAGACACAUCGGCAUGUACACACUCACACCCCUGUGCACACACACACCCCUGUGCACACACACCCCUGUGCGCACACACACGUGUGCACAAUGCAUGUCCACGUGCACACACACACCCACCUCUGCACAGACACAUCGGCAUGUACACACUCACACCCCUGUGCACACACACACCCCUGUGCGCACACACACGUGUGCACAAUGCAUGUCCGCGUGCACAUACACACCCACCUCUGCACAGACACAUCGGCAUGUACACACUCACACCCCUGUGCAGAUCCGCCCCCUGAGGCGCACUCCCAGACCCACGCAUCUGCGCACUGUGCACCCAGCCACUUGCGCAGCGCCCCCCCCCCCCACGCAGGCACUACAGGACCCGCUACUCCGGGGUCCCCCGAUGCUAUUAAGCGCCUGCUGUGCGCCUGGCACUUGGGGAGAGCCCAGGGGUCCGGAGGCGGGUAAUAGGGAGCCACAGGGGCAAAAGAGCAGGGCAGUGAGCGGAGCCAAAUGGUGCCGAGGCCCAGCCCCUCUCGCGGCAGAUGCAGAGUGA
rnacentral:lncRNA from 1 species